rfam:Picea glauca, whole genome shotgun sequence.
ACAUGUCUACAACAUAGCGUUAAUGCAUCAGAUCCCAUUAGAACUCCAAAGUUAAGCGCGUGCAGGCUAGAGUAGUACUGCGAUGGGUGACUGCCCAAGAAGUCCUAGUGUUUUACAUGCC